GCCCCCUUGUCCUUCCAGUCGUCUCCUUUGGUAAUUCAGAUUUCCAGAAUGGCUUUAUGCAGGACCAGCUACAUGCAGUGUGGGGCUUGGCCCCAAAAGUAAACUGGGGGUUCCCUUUUUCAAACACCUUCAAGAAUUUUAAGGUGGCAACUGCAGAGCAUGAAACCAAGUGGGGACCCCUCCUAAGCCGGGGCCCUCUGCCACUGGGCAGGUUGUGUGCUCACGGAGCCGGCCCCGGGUUUGUGUUAUCUGCAACCCAAAGAACUUUGAGCAAGACAGACAGACUCUGUUGGCAAGGUGGUCGCCCCAGUGGAAGGAAAGGCAUUUCAAAAUUCUUUCUAGAAUUGCAUCAAAGCGGGUGGCCACAGGCCAAGGAAACGUAGAGGACAGAAAAUGUCCAGGAUGACUAACUGAAAUGAGAGAAAAGGCACACCCAGGGCAGGGCCGGGCAGCCCGAGAGCCCGGAGGGGACUAGCACAAGAGCAUGACAGCAGAGAAGGGGAGCCUGGACCAGAUCCGAGCAGAGCGAGAGCUUCCUCUCGGCCAAUCAGCAGUAUGGGGCGUGGGCCUGGGGGCUGCAGAAGACCACCGCGCCCCUCCGGGCAUAUCUGCACACCUGCUCUUUGGUGUCCAUUGCUACGUUUAGUUAACCAUGGAACUGACUGCGUCCUGUUCUUAUUCUCCACUGUGGGUUCUGAUGUUCCCGCCCGAUCCUUGUAAAAUCUCCAGUUAACAUAAGAACUAUCGCGCCUUGCUCUUCCGAUUGGAUGAGGCCCACCUGCAUGUGGCCCCGAGCCUGGGGCUCGGAGCAGACAGGAGAGGUCGGCAGUGUCCGUCACGGGGCCUCCCUUAGCCAGCUCGUCUCUGCUGCCUGGGGCGCACAACACAUCCCAGGCACUGUGCCCGCUGCUGACGGGGUGCGAGGGGGUCAGGGGAUCAGCCGACUAGGACCACGCUGCAUCCACAGUCCUGUGAUGUGUCACCCCCUCGAGUGGUCAUCAGUCCUGCCCACGAAUCAGUCAGUUCCCGUUGAGGGCCGUCCUGCAACAACUUGGAAUCCACCUGAGUGGAUUAAAUGUCCAGGAAGUUGUGAGAGACCUCUUUCACCUCCAGCCUCACCGUGUCUGUUGCAUUUUCCUGAUUUACUGUCUGAAUUCCGGCGGAAAAGGAAAUAGGUGAGCUGGCGUGACGUUCCCAGUGCAACAGUUGGAGAUCAGGCUUAGUGGAGGACAGGUCUGGAUUCGAAUCACAGCAUCUCCACUUAAGGGCUGUGUGACCUUGGCAAGUCACGUAACCUCUCUGAACCUCAGUUUUCCUCAGCUGUAAAAUGGGAAUCAUAAUAUUUCCUGUCCCACAAGGUUGCCGUGAGGAUUAAAGGAGAUAAUGUAGAGUUACCUGGCAUGUGGCGAGGCGGAUUAUUAUUAUCGUUGCUGUCGUUGUUCUUCCAUAUGGGUUCCUAGCAGACACUACUUCUUUUCCGGGUUUCCUGGGUCAACCAUUCUAGAGUCUUGCCCGGGGUGGAGAAGAUGGCAAUGAGUAGAAGUGCUCGCAGCGGUGGUGUUAUGCUUGUGUGUGGAGGUGCAGAACCGAGGUGACGUGGCAGGCUGGAGACCUCUCCUUAGAAAGGCCUGCUUACGUCUUGGCUCACGGGUGGCGUCCAGGAACCGGGCACUGGACCCGUUCUGUGCAUUCCCUAGCUGACAAGGACGCGUCACUGUGCCUGGUGUGUUUGUACAACAGUACGGCUUAUGCGGAACCCUUGCUUUUUUUGUGGGAAUCUGGUGUUUUGGUCCGUGCCAGGCAGAGGAUGCCUGCAUGACCAGCCCCAGGGAAACCCUUGGGCACGGAGUCUCCCACGGGCUGCCCGGGGCGGGGACACUGCUGCAGGAGGAGAGUGCUCUGUGUCACCUUCCUGGGAGAGGAAGCAUCAGGAAGACUGGGUACGGAUUCUUCUAGACUCCAUGUCUCAGUCAGCUCAGGCUGCUGUAAGGAAAUACCACAGACGCGGGGCUUUCAACAACAGACAUUUACUUCUCAGAGUUCUGGAGGCUGGAAGCACGAGAUCAAGGUGCCGGUAGGUUCGGUUCCUGGUGAGGGCCUGUUUCGCGCCCUGCAGACGGCUGCGUCCCACUGUGGGUUUUCCCCUUAUGAUGCAGUGGUGUGUCUGACUCCACGGCUGAAAUCGCUCUUUGCCACAGAUACAGCUAGAUGUUGAAAACCGUGAGUCCUUCUAGGGAAUCUCUGAACGUGGGGGUGGUCUUGGGGACCCCUGACACAAUGAGUGUGUCUGUGAGUGUGUGUGUGUGUGUGUGUGUAAUUUCUUGCUUUUCAUUUCUGGAAGGUAGUUAUAAUACUUUCAUAAGGAACAAUAAAUAUGCUUUAAAAUUUUGUCGAAUGAAUCACAGCCAUGACGUUAUUUCAGGAGUAAGAUCAUGCUCUUUGCGCAGUAUCGGCAGCGACAGUUUCUGGCAGCUGCUCAGCUGUGUGGCUUCCUUCCUGCUCCCAGCCCCCAGGGCCCCAACAUCCCUCCCGAUGACGAGAUUGUCAGAACUCACCCCCACCUCUCCUCAGCCGCUGGCGGCAGGCAGGAAACGGCUGGGGUGUCCCGGAGGAAGGCCUCGCCCCCGGGAGGGAACCGAAUGUGCGUGCAAUGAAGAGCCAGAACUGCCAGAUACAAAGAUGAGAUUUUCAGCUGCCGAGGAAGGUGCUUCCAGAAACAGCACCAAGGCCCUCAGCUGCUAAUGGGGCAUUCCUCGCAGGAAUGCUGGGGCCACUGGCCAUUCUGUUCCGGAAAGGUCACUGCUUUCAUCACACUCUCUGUCCCGACGGCCCUCCUGGUUACACUCAUGAAUGAGGGAGCCGGAACGGAGUGAUUUCAGCAGAGUGAGCAAAAGGACAGUUGGCCAAAAAUGCAAAUCUGGCAGCCUGGAUUGCCCAUAAAUUUGCAAGUCGGUAACAUUUCUGUGUUUCUUUGUUCAGGUUCUGGCCUGUCUGCUCAGAGGACGUGUUUGUCAGGAGUUUCCAGACUGGCCCUGGAGGGGAACUCAGAAUUUGUCCGCAGGACGAUGCUGCCUCCCCCUGUGGAAGUCGUGGAUGGACGAGCAAACGGAUAAGAGUGGGAGCAGGCUCUCAUCUCCUGCUGGUGCUUCCCAGUGGCCAAACCAGGAGAGGCACAAGGGCAUGGAGAUCGGCUUCCUGGGCCUGGGACAGAGGAGAAGGGCAGAGAGCGGAUCUGGAGAAUAACCAGCAUGUCCUUGAAUCCCAGAUCUGCUGCUUACUAGAUGCGUGCUCUCGGGCCAGAGAGUUACCAUCUCUGAGCCUUGGUUUCCGUAACUGUAAAGUGGGGCAAGUAAUGGUAACUUUCCCAGAGUUAUCCAAACAUUGAAAAAAAUAACGCACAUUCCUGUCUCCUAUAAUAACCCUGCUGAUUAGGACAGAAGCUUUGGGAAAAGAAAAAGGCUUCCUUUCUUAUGCCAAGAGCUGAAGGUAUAGCAGUUGGGCUGGAAGUGUCAGCAGCCCAAGCUGGAGUCCUUUUUUCCAAAUAAAAAGACCUCCAGGAGCUUCAUAAUAUAGUCCUGAACAAGCCCUGAAUGACCACCCCAUGCUGAAGCAUAACAACUGUCUCCCUAUUUCGAUGGUUUACAUAAAAUGCAGAGACUAUGAAAAUGUUACUUUAUGCGGCUUUGGCUGCAUAUUAUGUGAAGACUGUUGGAGAAUCAGCAAAAUGUCUGUUCCACAGCUUGUUCCCAUCAUUGUCAUCAGUGAAAGACUCCAGCUCAUUCCCAGGUGUACAUACCAGAAUCACAGGAGGCAUCCGUGACCCCAUUCCUUCACCCUAUGUCCUGCUCAUCACCACGUCCUGUCGAUUUCAUAAAAGCAGCUCACUUCCAUUUUCAUGACUCUGGUCCAAGCCCUGCCAUCCUUCACCUCCUCACUGCUUUCCACUCUUCCCAUCUGUUGUCCAUACAGCUGCCAGGGUGAUCUUUUUGAAACGCAAAUCUUAGCAUGUCAGUCCUGUUGAAAGCUUUUAAUCACUUCCCAUUGCUCUGAGAAUGUGGUCCUAAAGGCCUCUCAUGAGCCAGGCUGUUCACAUCUGUGGCUGCCUCUCCUGGCCUGCUCUGCUCGACUACCACUGGUUUCCUUUCGAUUCCCCAGACUCAGCCCACUCUCCUUCCCUGGGCCUUCCUGUAGCCUGGACUGAUUCCUCCUCUCUCCCUCGCGUCCAUCUCCUCCUACCCAUCUCUCAGGUCUCAGCUUAACUCCCACAUCCUCCCUGACCAGGUCCCAUCCUUCUGUGACACUGUGUCCUGGCCCUCUUGUGUUUUCCUUCACAGCACUGGCAAUUAAAUGAUUAUGUGCAUGAUAUGUGGUUUGCUGGUAUUUGUCCACUUAGAACAUUCCAGGAGUCAGUAACUAUGUCCACUGUCUGCCAUUACUUAGCAUAUAGCAGACACUCCAGGGACAUUUGCUGAAUGAAUGAAUGAACCAAUGAGUAAGUGAGAUAGGAUCUCCAUAGGUCCCUUCAGUCUCCAGCUCCUGAAACUUAAAACUCGUGUCAGCACAGGGAGGAGCUGACGCUGGAUUCCCCUUGAGGGCUUUGGUGUUGAAAUGGGAGAAAUUACCCAUAGACAUGGGUGUGACCCCUUUAUGACUUUUUAAAAGUCAUAAUCAUAAAUCAUAAGCCCAUGUGGCCCACACUCGGAUGUCAUUAAGUUAGCCUGGGUGGCUGCAUUAUUCCUGCAAAUUCACUCGACUUUCAGAGAGCAGUGAGGUGAUGGUGCUGGUGGUGGUGGUGGUGGUGGGAGUGUGGAAUUGAGCAGAAAAACAGGAAUAGCAAAGGGUGACCUUUGUUCCCCACUCAAGAGGAGCCAGGCGCGGUUCUGGGAGCUCCACUCGUUUGAUGCCUGGAAUGUGAGCAGGGGGCAGUGGUGAAGUUCAUCGACUCCAGAAUCAAAUGCCUGAGUGAAAAUCCCAGCUCAGACAUUCUUGUGUGAUUUCCAGCAAGUCAGUUAACCCCCAGCACCUCGGUUUCCUCAAGUGUAAGCUUGGAUGAUGCCUGAACCUGCCUCACAGAACUGUGGAAAUGAUUAAGUGAAUCAACGCUGGGAGGGGCUCAGAACAGCGCCUGGCACAGAGCAAGCGCAACUUGUGUGCUUGGUAUUUUCAAAUAACAACAAACCAUAUUUGCUCAAGGAACAGACUUUGGUUGGAAAGUUCUUUUAAUCGGUUCCUGGGUGGCCAGACAAGCAGUCCGCUCUGCUUAGAACUAGGAGACUCUAGCUCCAGCCUCGGCCCUGCCCUUACUGGCUGUGUGAUUUGGGGAAAGUUACUGGAUCUUUCUGAGCCCCAAUUCACACGUGUGUGAAAUCAGCUGUGGUCCUUCUUCACGAGAUUCCCAUGAGCAUUCAGUGAAAUCCUGGCUCAAGUGGCUGAACCUGAGUCUCUUCUUUACAGCCAAUUAAUCUAAGAUCCACACAGGCCAAUCGAACAUCAGGGCAGCGAUCGUGUUUCUCUGAGCUCAGCACAGGCCGCUAUUAGAAGCCCGAGGAGUCGUUAAUAACACAGCCUCACUGUCUUUUCCCCUUUCCUGCCGUGGGCCGCUGAGGAGCUGGAACUGUGUUGUCCACAGUGGGGCUGGGGCGGCAUUGAAGGAGCGUCAGGAGCUCUCGGUCCCGACAGAGAAAACAAUAUGCCUGUGCUUCUCCAAGGGCCGUGCUCUCCACCACAAACAUACCGGGGCCCCGUUCCGGGGUGUCACAUGACUUUCCUGAGCUGGAGGAAAGUCCACCUUCCUCGUGGAUCAGGGACCGUCUUGGGUGGCGUCUUGGCUGCACUGGCCGAGGGCAGAUUGUGCUUUGUGAGGGGGAUUUGCGCAGAAUCGAUUUAUGCUCUUAGGUUGGCUGGCGCGGCCGAACAAAGGAUGGAAGCGGAGCUGUGGAGGCUGCAGGGAGGUGAGGAGGAGCGGGCGGAGAGCAGCACAGGAGGGACCCUCCCGCCCCGUGGCGUGGAGAUGCUCCUCUGCACACAGGCUGCGGCGGGGGCCUGCCCACCUGCUGCUGCCGUCUUGUUUCCAAGGACCGGCUCCAGAAAGGGGGUUAUGGGGCCAGGGCUAAUGGUGGAAUGGGGCACCUCUAAGGCACAGCUCCUGAAAGCGUGGCCUGGGGGCCACCUGCUGGUCAGGAGGGGCCUUCCUUAUGUUCUUCCCGGCAGAUGGUCAGGAAUUCUCCGGACUUUCAUCUUUACAUACAAGUAAGGGAAGCAAGAAGCAACUUAUUAAGCUGUUAUAAUCAUUAAGUUGGGGUCCAUGGGACAGGGAAAAAAUAUUAACAAUGCAUGUCCCUCUCUGCCCUUCUAAGCGGGGUUGAUGGACGGAUGGGUUGACUGACACGCUCUCCGAUCUUUAUAGUUUUGGUCAGGGGAAUGGGUUAUAGUUACAUGACAAAGACACAGUGAAAACAUGCAGCAAAGAGAAGAGACCUUAAAGGCGAGGGAAGGUGGGACAGAGGAGGGGGCAAGGGCUGUUAGGGAGAGCGAGGUUGGGUCAGCUGCUGCUUCGCGUGGGACUUUGGGGAGAGGUCCGAGCACAGAGGACACUUAUGUUGUGGCCAGCCACGUCUCCUGAACCCCAUUCCUGUAUAUGGGGACACGCCCACUGCUGAGUCCUGAGCUAGUUCAGGUCCCACGGGCAGCAGAGGCCCAGCUGGAAUUAGAUGUGCAAGAGACUUAUUGGGUGUGAUGCCUGUGAUGGACGAGAGGGAGACCGAGCAGGCGGCGGGAGAUGCUUCAGCCCACAGUGCGGAUGUGACACCCGAGAAAGGAGAAGCAGAAGGAAGGCGGGUUGGGCAGAAAGAGGCUCAGCCUGCAGGGCAACAAGCAGGAAGUCUUGGCCAGCUGACAGGGAGCCCCGGCAUGAAGAUGACCCUUUGGAGGAGCCGGCUUGGGGCCGGCAUGGCCUGCUCUGGCAGCCCCGCCCUGCUCCACUGUUGUCUGGGGACAGAAAGGAGGGAGGUCUGAGCAGUGCACCCCCACGGCGGCCACAAACUUGAGAGGAGGGACAGAGCAGCCCCAAAGGGGGCGGGUUCUGGCGGCAGAAGUCCUCCGCGGGAGUGAGGGGUAGAAGGCGAGGAGGGUCCCAGGAUGACGGCCCAGGGGGCCCCAUGGGAUGGAAGCAGAAGCAUGGUUUCAAACAGGCUGCCGUGUGGGCCACUGCCUCAACCUGCCACUGCCUCCACCUGCGGGUUCUUAAGACGCCCCUGGCUGCCACAAGGCCCCGUAUCUUCCCACAAAGCCCCAGUCGGUGUGGCAACAGCUUGCGGUCACACGCUCGCGGUUCUCAGUGCUGCUGUGCGUUGGAUCCCCUGGGUGGCUGAGGCCUGCCUCCCAGAGCUGCUGACCCAUUGGUCUGGGAGCAGCUGGGCACCAGGACUUGUGUGAGUUCCCAACGAGAUUCCCACGUGCAGCAGGCCGAGAGCCUCCCGUCCACACCAAGAGUGAUGGGCAGUUUGAUCGUUCCUAUUGCCUCCAACAGCUUGUGCUGUCCAAGUGUGUGUGUCCGUGCCUGUGUCCCAGCUCCGGGGACCUCCAGUGCUGGGCACCAAGGACUUGGACACUCCCAUUCAGGGGUCUCAUUAAACCCACGCCGGGAUCCUUUAUUGGCGGGUGUUAGAUGUUUCUAGAAGCACCACCAGAUAAACAUCCUUUUAUCUGGGGCCGGAUCCUUCCCUGGUGGCCUCCCCUGGGCGUUGGUGCCCCAGUUUCUUGCAUGACAUUUGUAGGCUGGUGGGUGGGGCCACACCUCAAGCCCACAUCCCCACCCCCAGGGGAGGUGCCAGGCCUGAUGGCCACCUGGCUGCCCCUCUCUGGCCCCUGGUGGGUGUCAAAAGCCGCUGGUGGUGCUGUAAUUGAGAUCGUCAGCACCUGUCACCGGAAUGAGGCCUCCCCCACCAGCUUACGGAGGACUGAAAUCUCUUAAAGGACAUGGCCUUUCUCCCGCCCACAUGAGAGAUUUAACAAACGUAAAGCCCCUCAGAGAAGAGCGACUUAAACACUGAAAGGUGUAAGCCACAAAGUAGACCUGUGGUGGGUGGAAAGGUGGCCCCCCCAAACAGAUGCGUCCAAGCCCUCACUCCUGGUGCCUGUGCGUGUGACCUGCCUUGGAAAUAGUCUUUGCAGAUGUAAUUAAGGAUCUUGAGAGGAGAUCAUCCUGGAUUAGGGUGGGCCCUCAAUCUGAUGUCUGAUGUGCUUAUAAGAGACAGAAGAGAAGUCACGGACACAGGGAAGGCCGUGUGACGAUGGAGCAGAGGGGAGUGAUGCGUCGACAAGUCCUGACGCCGAGGGUCGCUGGCCGCCACCAGAAGCUGGGGGAGAGGCCUGGAGCGAAUUCUCACUUGGAGUCCCCAGAGGGAACCUGAGUUUGGACACUGACCUCUGGGACUGUGAGAGAAUACAUGUCUGUCGUUUUGAGCCACUCAGUUUGUGGUACUUUGUUACAGCAGUGCCAGGAAAUAGUAUGAGACCCUUUCCAGAAAAAUCAAGCUUCAACAUUGGAGGAUGACAGCUAAGCCUUGUCCUCGGAAGAAGAGGGGGCUGGGAGGCUGAGCCUGAGAGGCCACACGCACUUCCUGUGUGCCCGCAUUUUGCCUGCGCUGAGUCCUAGGUCGAUGCCUGGUCUCCCGGGGAGCUGGUUAAAAUGCAGAUCCUGGGCUGACAGUCCGGGGCAGGCCUGACAUCCCGCAUUUCUAACAGGCUCCAGGGGACGCUGCUGGUCCGCAGACCACACUCUGAGCAGCGAGGGCUCUGGAUGGUUUCUCUGUGCGUGCUCCCUGGACCACGUGUGUCAUGGUCACCUGGGAGGCAGAGGGAAGAGUGCAAACAUCUAGGCACCACUCCUGACCUACAGACUCUCUGGGACCGAGUCCUGGAACCUCACCUUGACCACUGCCCUGGGACAGCCUGACAAGCGCUGAAUUUAGAGCCCACAGGGCCCUGUGCGUUUCUGGGAUGGUCAGAGCUGGGGAGACAGUGGCCCCGGAGUCCCUUUCUCAUCGGGGCAGGGAAGAAAGCACCCACACUGUUGGAGCACCUCUCCUGUGCCAGGCCCUGUGAGAGAGCCUUACGUUCAUUCGUGUAUUUAAUCCUCAAAACAGCUCCUGGAGGCACCUCCCAUUCUUACUCCCACUUUACACGUGAGCAAACUGAGGCCCAGAGAGCCAAGCCUCUUAUUCAACGUCCACAAGCAGAUCUGGCAGAGUCGGGUCCCCACCCAGCGGUCUGACAACACAUUGCCCACCCGCCCCCCACUGGGUCUCGGGCUAGCUCUAUUUAGGCCAGGCCUUCUCAGAUUGUAACGUGCCUGUGAAUCACCUGGUGAAAAUGUGGGUUCUGGCUCCCGGGGGAUGCCAAAGCCGUCGUCCUCAGACAGGGCCUCCGCAAGGCUCAGUUUAGGAGCCAUCUGCAGGAGCCAUCUGCAAAUACACAGAAGGGAUGAGAGACCAGGCACUCUUGGGGAAGUGGGGCAGGGCCAGACCGCAGGCAGGAGCCGUCCUGUUUUCCAGGCAUUUGGACUCCUGGAUAAUAGAGGCUGCCACGCAAUUGAAUUACAGAGCAAUUGGCUUUUAAUAGAGCUGAGCCCACGAGCACCUGCUAACAGAUUUCUUUGAAAGUGAAGCAGCUGUCCAGUUGCCGCGUUAAUCUCAUUAGGCACCUGCUUGGAAUUACCUUCUAGCAAAUCAGUCGCCCUACCUAACGAGAAUGGAAGCGCUCGCUCUUCACGGGGAACACCUGGGACCGCAGGGCGGCGUCAUUAAAAGCAGAAUGGGGAGAAGCUGGCGGAGGCCCGCUACAAAACGACACCCUUGGGAUUUUGGAGGGCGGGGCGAGUGCAUGUGUAUAAUCCCAGCUCCCUUCAUCCUUCGAAGAAUCUUGUUGAAAACCAGUCAUCGCAGAUCUGUAAUACCAUAAGAAACUCGAGUGUUCUACAAGACAAGGCGUUUAACUUAUUGCUUUUUAAAAAAUCUUGUCUUUCUAAGAUUUAGGUGCUAAAUUAUUUUACUUUACAACAUAGAUGAUAAAUGGCAUUAUUGUUUUUUUUUUACUAUCCUUAGUUGUUAAAAUAAAUAGGCAGCUUUGGAUCAGCCCCUUGAUAUUUUAAAUGAUAUAUAUAUUUUUUUAUUAACUUUUUUUUUUGUGGAAGAUUAGCCCUGAG